GUGUGUUCAGGCGGCUUGUCUGAACAGAUGUGGAUGUGUUGAACACAUCGUGUACAGUGUGUCCAGUGGGUACAGUACGGUGUGUAUGGUGUGUCCAUUUUGUCUGGUGGACUACACAGGGUGGUGCAAGUGUCAUGUAGUGCACUUAAGGUCUAAGAGGGAGCCAUUUAAGAUUCAGCCAAGGUUGUGGUGUGAGACACGGGACCCCGACAUCAAACCAACAAGCGUCUUAAAGCGGGUGUGAAGCUGCCAGACGGAACACGGAGAUGUCUAAUGGACCCCAUUCCCGCUCACUCACAACAAUGGGUCCUCGGGUGGUUUCCCUGUAGAUGUGCUGGUAGCCCAGGUACAGAAUGAGGGUGAAGGUGCAGUACAGGAACCCAAAGACGCCCACAGACACAAAGAACUCGGCGGAGGACGAGAAGUCACCCCUCAGAUAGGUGACGUUGGCGGGUUGGCUGGAAUUGCAGCUCGGGAUGUUAAAUGGUUGACUUGGAAGUCUGAGAGAGUGAGAGAGAGAGAGUGAGGGGGCAAUAAAGCAGCUAUGUACUAACAGCUUUCACGGUCAAAUCCUUGUGACCGCCACUUCCUUUCUCUCAGGAAGAACCGGCUAACAGGUCGCUCUAGGAACCACCUGAGUCAUCAGCUCUGGGUUUGUUCUGCUGACGUGGACGUUAGGGCCAGAGACGCCCGAACGAUGCUGGAACCUGGUCGUUCUCCGAGGGAGAGCGGGAUCACAGCACGACCAACAGCGGGGUGCUCAGUGGUGAGAAAAUAACGGUGGCCAUAACAAGGCUGAUGGAGGACAGACGUGUGCGGUAUUGUAAACAAAGCUAUCAUGGUGACGGAUGAGGAAGGGAUUCCUUUCAGUGCUGUCUUUUUUCACACUAUUCCUCUGCAGAUUGAGCUCACACAAUGAUUAAAUGAACAGCAGCACAGCUUUUUACACGAAUACAGAUUAAUACCUAGGCAGUUUUCUGUGUAUCAAUCUUUUUUAUAAGAUUCAGAAUUUCUCAUUAGUCUCAGAACGUCAUCAGAUCUCGAUGGUCGAUGGUGGUUAAUAAUUACACCCAGUUAAAACCCGUCUAAAUUUAGCUCUGCUGGACAGAGAUUCCCUCCCCGCUGCCAGAUUAAAGUAGCAGGAGCACCUUCAGAUUCUCACACUCAUUGUGUACAGAAUAAACCACGGCAGCUCCCCCAUCAUCUCCUGGGUUUCUGAUUCCUUCACAUUUUUCCUUUUCACUUUUCUCUUAGCUUCUCUUAGGGGUGGGGGUAGAGGGGUGGGGUUUGUCUGAGGGAUGAUGAGGAUGAAGAACAGAAUUUCUGGUAUUUUAGUUUUGCGUGUAAUUCUCAAUGUGUAUGAUACUAAAGAUAGUACUCAAUUAGAAGUGAGUUUUACUUUCUGCACAACUUUAGCUCAAGCCCUCAGGCAACAGUAUAUUAAUGACAUGUCAACAUGACACGACUUGAGUACGCACGAGAGAAUAAUGUUUUUUUUUGUUUUUUUUUUAUUAAUUAGAAAAUAGCCAGCGGGGUAAAAAUAUUAGUACCGCACAGCCCUAACAAACCACCAACAGGGUGGCAGGUCAUCAGCUUUCACACUGAGGUUUUGUUGAACACUAACUUUCCCUUUGGUUUUCUGCAUGCAAAGCAAACCAUAAGCGGUGAUCAUCAGCUCUGUUUCUCCACAGCAGGUGUUUGGUGUGAGGCAUCCUGGCACCCACACCGAGCACAUGGUGCUCACGUUCAUGCCAGAACGCACACCUACAGGUUGCCGUUAAAAGAGCGUCUUUGUUUCUAAUGAACUGUUUGACUGCACGCUUCGUGACGCCGUUUCAUUUUUAAUACUCCACAGAGCCUCAUCUAAAAAGCUCUCAUUCAGAUCCUCUCUCUUUCAUCUUACUGUACUUACUUUUAUUCACGUUCAGAAUCCUCUCGUGGCAUCGUUCGCUUUUAAUCCCAUCCCAACACGUUCGACUGAGUUCCAGACAUCACAGGAAUUUUGUUCUUCGUCCUCAUCUUUCCUCUUAACACUUGGCCAGCUAUUAUGUUUUUUCUUAAUUAUUUUGUUAAAGAUAAAUGUUGUCACGCUACACAACACACUGCGAGAUAUCAUGGAGCUUGUGAUAUCCUUAAUCAGAGUGCAAUUUUCUGUCAAUGCUGAAUUUAUUCUUGUAGACGUUCUUCUGGACUUCCGUGAUAUGAUACUUCUGCAAUAUUGCGUUUCUUUCUUCUAAUUAUAAACCUCUGUACGCUGUUGAUGAUAAACUCGGCCUGCUUUUUAUUACCAUGAUUUGAUUUCUUAAUCACUUUAUCAUCGUUCACUCGUUGAAGACGUCGCUGCUGGAUAAGGUCCAACGUUGAACGAGUGCUUAAAGAUCAAACUAUAAAACCGCUGCUGUACAGAACAGGAGGUUGUUGAUCUUUAACCAUGUAGUUAUUUUUUAACACACUGCGGAUACUGGGUCAGCGCAGACCACCUAAAGGUUUUUCUGUUAACACAAAUUCUCAUCUAACGUUUGGAAAAAGCAAAAGUAAACCACACUAGCCACCUGCUUGUUGUUGUGGACUAGUCGGCUAGCAUCAAGCCGUGUUUGUGUGUUAAACAGGACGCUGCACGUUUCCUGGUAACUCCCCUCCUGCUUUAGUGUGCUCACGAUAUGAACUGCCCGACUUCUCCCGCCUUAAUCAAACAAAAAGAAACUUCCUUUAUGAGAAUGGCUGCUUCUGCACCGUAGGCCGAGACAAGGAUAGAGGGAUAAAAGCAAGUGUGUGUGUGUGUGUGAGCUGCUGGCAUCUAUUUCCAUGCACAUGCACAUACUAUAAAAUGUUCCUUGGCUGUUUUCAAUGCUGUCUGAAAUGCUACACCUGUUAAUUAACAUUACUGCGUUACAGGACCCUGGUUGUGUAAAACAUCAUGGCAUGUGAACAGAACACAGACCGGACCAGCCAUGUGACCCACGUCGUGAUUCUAACAUCCGUUCUAUGUCAUGGUUCGGAUUUCAAUCCGUUCUUUUUCUGGUGGUGAGGAGAUCAUUACAGUAUUUAUACUAUGUGUUUGCUGUGAGAGCGAGUGAGAGACACAUACACUCACACGGACAGACACACAGCUUAGAAAAAAAAGACGUAUUUACAAGGUAAACACGGCUCUUAUUUUUUAAACUGUAGUUGUGUUUAAACGAAAAGCACACGCGUUAAACCUUCUCCACGUUUUAAUCUUGUACUCAAACACGAACAACUGUAACUGAUAUAAGGUUGCGAUGCAGAGCAGCUGGAGCUGAGAAUAUUACUAAAGGGUGUGGAAGUGGGAGUGUUUGUGUCUAUGUGGACAUGUAGCUUUGCAGGGCAUUCGGCUGACUGUUGCUCAAGCGUGCGUACAGACCCGAUCUACCGAUCCUGAUUCAUGUUCACACAACAACAUCUGUAAAUACUGAGAAACGAACUUUGGCUGUAAGACUGUGUCGGGAAUUUGCAUCGUUGUGAUUUGCAUGGCUGACCCGAGUCCAGAUGAAGCAGCAGUUCGUUUGACUUUGAAUGAAAAAAGCAACACACGAAAAAUUCUAAGCGAAACCGCUUCAAUGAUUCGUUGUGACUUCAACAAACAAGAUAUUUUACGUCGAAAUAAUUCUUAUUUUUCUUAUACGUAAAUAUUAUCUUUCAGAUGUUCUGUGUUUAAUUACAGCAUCAUAAAAAUGAAACGGAAACGUCUGAGGUUCAGUUCAGUUUGUUCCUAAUAAUCUGCAGUAACAACAACAAUGAUAACAAAAACAUUAUCCAUAUUUUCAACCCAAAAUGAUUUCUACAAUUCUAAAUCCAGGUCUGAAAACAUUAGUGUCUAAAUCUAAAUUUAACAGCCGGACUUUUGGUGUUUAGGAAUAAUAAUAAAAAAGCUAGAAUAAUUCAUUAAACUCAUUCAUCUAUCCAUCCAUCCAUUUAUAAAUAUGUCUCAGUUUAAUACAUAAUGUUUUUUGGGGACACGUUAGACUUAACGUACUCGCACUUAAUGUUUAAAUCGUUUUAGUUAAUUAUUCACAUGUUAAAAAAACAUGAUGUAUAAGAUUCAGAAAAGUUUCUAGAUACGCCUCCGCCGUGCAAAAGUUUGUGCCCCCACAGAGUCAUGUGAUCAGGUUCACCUUGAAAACUAAACAUAUGCACACACAAAUCUCUGUUUUUUCCCCCAGUUUAAUCCACAGUACAGUCUGUUAGACACAACAACACUAAUUAUGCAUCUACAUUAUAAUCGGAGACUGCUUGCUAACUUACUUCACAAACACACACACACACACCAUACAUUUAUACAGGAACUCACCCACUCCAGAAGGCGAAUAAAUCCAAGCGGCUCUUUUAAUGGUCCCAAGUCAAGUUUGAAACCCGUCAGCAGUUUCUACAUGGAAAUAAAACAAUAUACAAACUAUUUUCAACAAGUAGGUCGCUUUUUUUACGUUUCCAUAUGAAACUACUUCAAAUUAACGUUAAAACGCGUUGCAUUCGGGCUGCGUCCCAAAUCACCUGCGUCCGUAUACAAGUGCACUAGAUAUGGCCAAGAAGCCGUUCUGUAACAACGGUAAACUAGUGUACGCGCGUAGGGACUAGGGAGCGAUUUGGGAAGCGGCCUCUCUCAGAGCCACAAGCUUGCUAACUCGUUAGCAACAUUAGUCUCGCGCACAACGAAAAGAGGUAAACAAAAAAAAAAGAUAUUACCUGAAGA